rnacentral:rRNA from 1 species
UUCCUACGGGGGGCUGCAGUGGGGAAUUUUGAACAAUGGGCGCAAGCCUGAUCCAGCAAUGCCGCGUGCAGGAAGAAGGCCUUCGGGUUGUAAACUGCUUUUGUACGGAACGAAACGGUCCUGGUUAAUACCUGGGGCUAAUGACGGUACCGUAAGAAUAAGCACCGGCUAACUACGUGCCAGCAGCCGCGGUAAUACGUAGGGUGCAAGCGUUAAUCGGAAUUACUGGGCGUAAAGCGUGCGCAGGCGGUUUUGUAAGACAGGCGUGAAAUCCCCGUGCUCAACCUGGGAAUUGCGCUUGUGACUGCAUCGCUGGAGUGCGGCAGAGGGGGAUGGAAUUCCGCGUGUAGCAGUGAAAUGCGUAGAUAUGCGGAGGAACACCGAUGGCGAAGGCAAUCCCCUGGGCCUGCACUGACGCUCAUGCACGAAAGCGUGGGGAGCAAACAGGAUUAGAUACCCUAGUAGUC